AGGUGCGAACGUACCAGCACCAGUGCACCGAAUCUCAUCAGAACAGCACGGAUAAUCGUGCUUGGGCGAGAAAAUAGUACUAGAAUGGAUGAUUUUUUGGAAAGUCUUUGUGUUGCACUCA
rfam:Brassica oleracea var. oleracea cultivar TO1000 chromosome C4, whole genome shotgun sequence